GAACGCACCUUGCGCCCUUUGGCUAUUCCGAAGGGCAUGCCUGUUUGAGUAUCAUGAACACCUCAACUCUCAUGGCCUGCCAUGAUGAGCUUGGACUUUGGGGGUCUUGCUGGCCUGUGGUUGGCUCCUCUCAAAUGAAUCAGCUUGCCAGUUUUUGGUGGGCAUCACAGGUGUGAUAACUAUCUACGCUUGUGGUUUUCCACCAGGGUAACCUUCAGCAGUGGAGGUUCACUGGAGCUUACAAAUGUCUCUCCUCUGUGAGGACAGCCCUUUGAAUGUUUGAUCUCAAAUCAGGUAGGACUACCCGCUGAACUUAAG
rnacentral:misc_RNA from 1 species